rfam:Lupinus angustifolius cultivar Tanjil chromosome LG02, whole genome shotgun sequence.
AGGUGCGAUCAUACCAGCACUAAUGCAACGGAUCCCAUCAGAACUCCGCAAUUUAGCGAGCUUGUUCGAGAGUAGUACUAGGAUGGGUAACCUCCUGGGAAGUCCUUGUGUUGCACCUC